AGAACAAAAGCUAGGAAGAGGAGGAUUCGGAGACGUUUACAGAGGAACCUUAACCCGGCCGAAAAUGGUGGUGGCCAUCAAGAGAGUCGCAAAAGACUCGAGGCAGGGAAAGAAGGAGUAUGUCGCCGAGGUGAAGGUCAUCAGCCGCGUGCGCCAACGCAACCUCGUGCAGCUCGUGGGGUGGUGCCACGAGAAGGGGGACCUGCUUCUCGUCUAUGAGUACAUGCCCAACGGCAGCCUCGACGCCCACCUCUACGGCGGUGGCAAUCCGCUGCCGUGGCCGACGCGGUACAGCAUCGCCCGGGGUGUCGCGGCGGCGUUGCUUUACCUCCACGACGAGUCGGACAAGUGCGUGGUCCACAGGGACGUCAAGUCGAGCAACGUGAUGCUGGACGCCAAUUUCAACGCCAAGUUAGGGGAUUUCGGCCUUGCGAGGCUCGUGGACCACGGCGGCGGCAUGGAGACGACGGCCGUGGCUGGGACGAUGGGGUACCUGGCCCCGGAGACCGCGACGACGGGGAGGGCGAGCAAGGAGUCGGACGUCUACAGCUUCGGGGUGCUGGCCUUGGAGAUCGCCUGCGGGAGGAGACCCGUCGAUCACGGCAAUAAAGAGGGGCGGGUUAGUCUCGUUGAGUGGGUAUGGGAUCUCUACGGGAAGGGCGCCGUUGUGGAGGCGGCAGACGAGAGGCUGGGCUUGAACUUUGACCGGCAGGAGAUGGAGCGGCUGAUGGUGGCGGGCCUGUGCUGCGCGCACCCGGACCACCGGCAACGGCCGUCGAUGCGGCAGAUGAUCGGCAUUCUCCUCUUCGAGAUGCCGUUGCCUAAUCUUCCGACAGAGAUGCCGGAGAUAUCCUACGGAGCGUUUCCCGUUCCGGAGUUCAACAUGACCACCAUCAAGGAGUUGUCGUCUACGUCGGCAACCUCCGCCAGAUUCGCCACCGGCGCCUCCGUCGAUUGAGCGGGGUCCGCCGGGUACAAACCAGCCCUUUAUCCGCUCGACAGGUGAAUCAGUCGAAUUCAACGCUUUCGUUUUGUUCAUCCUUCUCUCAGGAGCUAAGUACAGCGAGAGUGCCAGAUGUAUCUUCUGUGUUCUUCCUGUAAUAAUCCCUGUAACGAAGGUUUCGAUCCUUGGAUCUUAGCUCCUUUGUCCGCGUCAGUUGACUGUGGGUUAUCGCUUGACUCAUGACCAUGAUGCAUCCCGGCAUUUCCGUGAGGAUCCAGAAAUGGAUCAGAUGGGAGGAAAGGAUAGGUUCGGCCUCGGACCUUUGUCCAUCGCCUUCCUCCUACCGGGGCGUGUCGUCACCCAGCCCACGACGACCAUUCCCCGAAGCUCAGGCGUCGGUUCACAUCUCUUGUCUGCUCUGUUUCAGUAGUCCUCGGUGACUUCUUCCCCCGUUCCCACCUUCCACUCGGACGCGGACGAGAUCCGCAGAAUCAGCUUGGACAUGAGAUCGAUUCAGCCCGUCUGAGUUUAUUUCUCUUUUAGAUGUUUUUUUACGUGGGUACGACUCCCUUACUCUCCCGUCGGCCUAACAGAACUUAAAUAUCUAAUUCGUCACAACGACAAAGGGUUAGCAUACGCCAUGACUGGGGCCGCGCAUCUACCCAUAUUCCACGGAGAGGACCGGUCCUCCCUCCGGGGCUCCCUUUAUUUUUCGUCUCUUGGAUCCCUCGCUGACCCAUCACGCCGGUGGAUCGUCUUCCUAGCCCCGAGUUUCUUAGUCGUUUAUCUCUUGUACUGGGACGAGGCCGCCGGGUCGCCGGGCCGCCGGUUGGAUGGAAACGGAUGGAGCUCGUGGGAACCGGCUUCUGAGCCAGUCGGUAAAGAGGGGUGGUGGCACCGGUUAGACCGAAACUGCAUCUCAUGCACCUCGCCUUUUAUGCCGCGGAGGAAGAUGAAGGAACCAAAACCGAAACAUCCAGGCGAUAAGAGGGCGAAUAAGAAAGUCAGGAGGCUCUUCUCACCGCCGCAUCAGAUGCCUCAAGCGAGAGCUUUUCCGCAAACUCGUAUCCCCUCUUUCUUUCGUUUGGCCUACGUGACUGUGUAAGCAAAGAAAGCCAAUGAAGGCUUACGAAUGUCGGAAGGAGUUGACCCCACACGGUAGGUGUUUUCCGAUCGACGAUGCGGUGUGUACGGCGGUGGGCACGCACCCCCCAGCCUUCGCGGGAAAAUGCCGAGCUUCCCCCCGCCGGGGGCCCUCCCAUGCAGCUCCAGUUUUCCCCCACCUCCUGCGUCCCUCUCAAUAAUCCCCUCCACACCUGUCUCUCUCGGCGAUAUUUCGUCAUUCAUAAACUACAUAAAAAAAAGCUUCUUUUUUUUGUCAUUCGCUCCCUAUGGGUGAUAAGAUUAUUUUGGCUACCGGGAGUUUGGCCAGUGCAGUCGCAGGACGCGCAAUGACCGUAAGGGUCAUUGGACGCGCGAUGACCAUAAAGGUCACCGGACGCAUGAUGCCGGAAAUGGCUACAAUGCCGUCUGCGGUCACGAGAUGUGACACUGCCGCCAGCAAUGGCGAUAAUGGGCCGUAAUGGGCCAUGAGCCGCAAUGGGCCAUGCACCGUCUACGGCAUCAGGAUAACCCCAUGACAUGAUCCACCACCGCCAGCAAUGGCGAUGAGGGGUGGAGCACUACGAUUGGCAUGUGAAGCCACCUAGAUGGCAGGAGGGCUGAGGUGGAAGCCACCAUCUUCACGGUAGCCAGCCACCACUUGAAUGGUUGGAGUGCCGCCAUUAUGGCGAGCAACUUCUCUCCUGAAGGGCCAUUUUAGGGCACUCAAUUACAACUACGGUAAUUGCAUGGGAUGGCCACACCUCGUCGCUUGUGACGGCCCAUGCUUCACCUUCUAUUACGGCUCACGCCUCAUAUUUUUGAUGGCCCACGUCUCAUGGCACAUGAUGGCUUAGGCCUUAUUAUCUGUCAACUUGAAUGAUUGUCCUAAGAAUGAGAUAGAAAAAGAACAAAUGGAUGACAUCCCAUAUGCCUCAGUUGUUGAGAGCUUAUGUAUAAACAUGUACCUAUCCAGAUGUCACAUAUGUUGUUGGGAUACUUGGUAGAUAUCAAAAUAACAUAGGCCUAUAACAUUAGAAGGUUACAAAAAAAAGUUAUACAUUAUUUACAAGGCACUAAGGAUCACUUGCUCACUUAUAAAAGAUCAGAUCAUCUUGAGGUCAUUGGCUAUUGAGAUAUAAAUAUUGGAGGCUAUCUUGAUAGUAAAAAAUUUACUUUAAGUUUCAUUUUUCUACUAAGAUGUCGAGUCAUUUCAUAUGAGUAUAAAACAAACCACUAUAGCUUCUUAUGUUAUGGAAGUUAAAUUUGUUACCUUCUAUGAGACCUCAUCAUAGGCAAUAUAGAUAAAAAAAUUUUAUCACAAGUCUUAAAAUGAUGGAUUCAAUUCAAAAACCACUUAAGAUCUAUUGUGAUAAUGAAGUUGAUGUUUCUUUCUUUAACAACAACAAAAGUUUCACUUCAUGUAGGCACAUGGAAAUAAAUUAUUUUGUUGUUAAAGAAAUAAUAGAUAUUCAUUUGGUGUCUACUACUCAUAUUGGUAUACAUGACAUAUUAGUAGACCCACUUACUAAAGGAUUGACGCCUAUAUUAUAUUUCAAACAUGUAAGGAACAUGGGUCUAUCCUUUAAUGUCUUAUUUUGAUAGAUCUUACAAAAGUAAUGUUUUAUUUUGAGACAUCAAGUAUUUGUGAACAUAUUUUGGUAAAUAUUAUGAUUCUUUGGGUUCUACUUUCUAUAUCAAGUAUUUAUAAAUAAAUUAAGUAAAUAAAGAGUUAUAUUUUACCAAGGGAAUAAGAAUGUGGUUAACUUAUUCAUAAAAGUCGUUGUCAUAUAAAGUAUUGGUAAUUAAAGAAUAUUGACAUAGUAAUAUAGAGAAGAUAACAUACACUCAAGUUUAUCUAUCGCUAUGACUCAUGUCUCUAUUUAAUCAUGACAAAGUAUAAAAUUACCCACAUAAAAAUGAGAUUAGUUGUGGUACCAUGUCAAAACUUAAUCUAAUAUCUUUUGUGUCUUGUAUUCUAUAUGUCUAUUAUCUUGUAGAAUAAUGAUUAUGGUAUAAUAGGCCAAGUGAGAGAAUGUUGGCCCAUAAGUGGCCCAUUAGCAUAAUAACUACUCAUAAUAACCACUCCUAUAACUACCUAUUGGCUACCCUCAUUUGGGAAACAACACACACCCUAUAUUUAAGAAGAAUCCUUAUUUCAGGAGAUGAGGAAGACACACAGCUCUCUCUCUCUUCUCUCUUCUCCUCAUUCUAUUUGAUGAGAACAUAACCUUUAGUGCUCUAAGAGCUUAGUACUCUUCUCCUUAGUACAUUAGUCUGUCAUCAAGUAGCAUCCUACAGAGAAGGGAUAUCAAAGUGUCUAUCUAUUUGGGAAGACAAAUAUAUCCUUUCUCUUACACUACAAUUUCCUGUGAACACUUGAUACACAAUGUCUUCAUUAGGUGAGUAACCCAUCAUAUAAAAUAGAAUAAUAAUUAUUAUUAAUAUAAUGUUGUUAUUCCAAUAUGGUGGCCAUUUCACUCUCUUCCCAAAGAACAACAAAAGCUAGUCGGGUAAGGCCUUUGGUAGCUGUCAAGUUCAACGCCCACAAAAACGCAUAGGAUAUGAAGGACGCCCCCCAUGUAGGGAUCGACGUCGGCUACAUAACGUCCGCAAUAAUCUCGGAUUGUGGGUCGAUCUCCGGCCAGAACAGAACCACGAUCGACGUAGUGAUCACCUACGAUGCUGGCACCACCAUGCUUAAAGCCUACUUCUCGAACAUGAAUGGCACGGACCAGAGCUUGGCUUACUACGUUAACCUGAGCGAGGAGCUUCCCGAGAAGGUUAACAUCGGCUUCGCGGGCGCCACUGGUGCAUACUUUGGACGCCAUGUGAUACAUUCCUGGAGCUUCAACUCAAGCCUGGAUGUUGCCGUCCGUAACGGUAACACCACAAACGGCGGCGAUGCCGGUGGGACUAAGAAGAAAAGCAACAUCGGCCUACUGGCUGGUGUGCUAGCCGGCGCGGGAACCUUGGCAAUCGCAGCGGGUUUGGCACUCUUCUUCGUCUGGCGAAGAAGGGCACAUGCGAAGAAUGGAGGACAGGACGGCGUCAUCAACGACAGCGAACUUGACGAAGGGAAGGGGCCCAAGAGCUUCUCUUAUUCGGAACUCACCCGGGCAACCACCAACUUUGCGCCAGAACAAAAGCUAGGAAGAGGAGGAUUCGGAGACGUUUACAGAGGAACCUUAACCCGGCCGAAAAUGGUGGUGGCCAUCAAAAGAGUGGCAAAAGACUCGAGGCAGGGGAAGGAGUAUAUCGCCGAGGUGAAGGUCAUCAGCCGCGUGCGCCAACGCAACCUCGUGCAGCUUGUGGGGUGGUGCCACGAGACGGGGGAGCUGCUUCUCGUCUAUGAGUACAUGCCCAACGGCAGCCCCGACGCCCACCUCUACGGCAGUGGCAGUCCUUUGUCUUGGCCGACAAGGUACAGCAUUGCCUGGGGGUUUGCGGCGGCACUGCUGUACCUCCACCAGGAGUCGAAGCAGUGCGUGGUCCACAGGGACGUCAAGUCGAGCAACGUGAUGCUGGACGUCAAUUUCAACGCCAAGUUAGGGGAUUUCGGCCUUGCGAGGCUCGUGGACCACGGCGGCGGCAUGGAGACGACGGCCGUGGCUGGGACGAUGGGGUACCUGGCGCCAGAGACCGCGACGACGGGGAGGGCGAGCAAGGAGUCGGACGUCUACAGCUUCGGGGAGGAGACCCAUCGAUCACGGCAAUAAAGAGGGGCGGGUUAGUCUCGUUGACUGAGUUUGGGAUCUCUACGGGAAGGGCGCCGUUGUGGAGGGGGCGGACGAGAAGCUGGGCUUGGACUUCAACCGGCAGGAGAUGGAGCGGCUGAUGGUGGCGGGGCUGUGCUGCGCCCACCCAGACCACCGGCAACGGCCGUCGAUGCGGCAGGUGAUUGGCAUUCUUCUUUCUGAAAUGCCAUUGCCUAAUCUUCCGGUCCAGAUGCCGGAGCCGUCCUACGGAGGGGUUUCCGUUUCUAGGUCCAACCUGGCCAGCAUCAACUGGUGGUCGUCGUCUACUUCGACGACCCCCAGCGGAUUCACCACCGGCACCUCCAUCGAUUCAGCUUGCUCCACUGGCAGCAAACCACUUCCGUAUCCGCCCGUCAGGUAAAGCCGUCGAAUUCAACGUUUUCGUUUUAUUCUUCGAUUUACUCUUGGCUUGUCUUUUCAGCCGGUCGUCGCAUUAACCGGUCCAACGACUGGGUUGACCAUCUCUCAUCAAAACGGCCGUCGACCGACAGAUCUCAGUGCACGCUCCAACUCGCCCUUUAACAACCACUCGGUCCUUCGAGGUGUUAAUAAGUAGAACCUCUUCUUCUCUAUUUGAGUGUCCUAUUUGACAGUUGUGAAGAGAAGUUCAAGGUAGAUAUCUAAGGGUCUAAUCGGAGUUUUGAAGGCCAUGGUUAGAUAACUAUUUUCUCAGUUCUUGAUGAGAAUUUUCUUGUGAUCUUAUCAUAUCUAACUAAAGCUUUCGUCAUUGUUAUUCGUAGACAAAAGAAGCAGUCUAUGGAACCAUGUUAAAGUGUUUUAUGCUUGUACCCUAUUAUGAGUUGAUCACCCUUCCUUUUCGAUACUUCACAUCGUGUAGAUUGCAUAAACAAUAUUUUGCUAGUACUCUACUAUGAGUUUUGUUCACCUAUUUUGUUUGCUUUAUUUCAUUAGUCCUAGGUGAGUUCAUGACUCCUCCACACCUUUCACUAGAACAUGGACCAGAUCUGCAGAAUCGACUAAGAGAGGAGAUCAAUUCAACCUAUCUAAGUUGAUCUUUUCUUUCAUAUCAGCUUUUAGGUGGCUGUGACUCCCAACUCUCUCUAGUGUAAAAGGAUUCCUCUCGUUUACCCUUAAAAUUCACAGGCAACACUACUGUGGAUUUGAGUUUGGCAAGAGGUGAACUCAAUGAGCUCCAAAAGAGUAAAAGGAAAAUAUGCUGUAAGUAGGGAGAAAGUACAUCCAGAUAUGAAGGAGAAGAGGGCUGGAACAGAGGAUGGACGGGAGUUUGUGGAACAAAAUAAGCCCUCAAAAUUAAAUGUCUUGAGUUGUUUACAACCAAAUAGAGAGGGUUUUAUGUGAAAGUAGACAACUUAAUUCAAAACUGAUUAAAAACAAAAAAAGAAGUAAGGAACGGAGCAAAAGAAGUAGACAACUUCUCCAUGCUCAUCAUGUUGAUAGACUCCUAAGUACCCAAGUCCCUUGUCGCUAGAAACGGAGCAAAAGAAAGGAACGGAUUGCCCGAGCAGAAGACCAGCGCCCAACAUGAGUAAGUUUUGGGCCAGAAAUGAUGGGCCCAGAUAGAGGGCUUGGGCUGGUUAAGGCCCGACCAGCCAACAGCCAACUGUCACAGCGACAGUUUAAAUACUAGAGGAAGAGAUCAAGCGGGAGGAGAGAAAAAUCAAGAUUCUUCUACCCCAUCUACCUCUGCAUUUCACUCUCUGUCUCAGUCUCUCUCUCUCUCUCUCUCUCUCUCUCUAUCUCGCUCUCUAUCUCCUCUCUCUUUCUUUCGUCAUGAUCUCUGCUAGAUCUGCUGUUCAUCAACAUCCCUGCUGCCUGAUUCUUAACCCCCUUCUGCAUUGUCUUUCCGGAGUUCGGAAAUGAUUGCUCUCGAGAGCAGGAACUAGUAAUUCUGGUAUUUCAAGAAAUUGAGAAAGGUGAUUGCGUACGUAAUACUUCUUCUUGUUCUCUGAAAUUCUUGUGUCUAAAAUGUUACUAUCUUAUUUUGAGUGAAUUUCUUGAUAUCCUUCUGUUCUAUCUUUGAAUCAUUGAUUGAACUUCAACCGUUCCUUCCAAAUUUAUAUUGAUUCUGAGGAAUAUAAAAAAAGGAGAUCCUAUCACGUCUUAUAGGCAAGUUUGCAUCAAUUUCAUUUAUAUCAUGUCCAUAGUAUUGGAAAGGCAGCAGCUGGAUGGCGGGCAGCGGUGGAAAUAGUCGGACGGAAGAAGUGGUGGCAGAUGGAUAUUGGCCCUCAGGACCUCUCCUUCGGAGCGAAGAUGGUUGACCCUCACGGCCUCUCCCUCAUGGAGCAAAGACAGGUAAUUCCUCAGAAUAAUCAUUUAUCUGGAGAUGGUCGCAAGACCUCGCCGCUCCCAAUUAGAAGCUCUACCUUUGUCUCUAUCUGGUCGUUGUCGCCAUCUGUCGUCGCCUCCACCACUGCCUUCGCUGCCACCGCCAUCUUCCUCGUCUUCUGCCGUCGCCUUCUUCCUCGUCGUCCACUACCAUAGGGGCACGAGACAACUCUCUCUAAGGAACUCGGCAAAAAUAGCCCCCUAACUUCGGGAGAAGGGGUGCCUACUCACAAAGGGGUUUGCAGUGACCAGGCCUGGGCGACUGCCGCCACUAUUUUGUAUAUGUCCGCUUCGGCCUCCGACACUCUUGGUCCGCCACUAUCUCCACCUUCAUUGCCGUCGCCUCCAUCCCGUCGCCGACCACCUCAUCGCCGCCGCCGGCUGUCCAAGAUCAACCCCAUUCUGUCGUCGCCGCCACCAUCCCUUCCCGCUUCUUCCACUGCCAUUGUCGCCCUUCCCAACCUUUGUUCCUCUGGUGAUCUGUUCCGCCUGUUUCUUUCCCAAUUAGGGCUUAAAGGCCCCGAUUCGUGGGUCCCAAUCUACUGGUUGAACACAUUCGGUGAUCCCGACCAGGCCACCCUCCGAUGCGAGCCCCAUUGGUCUGAACGAACCCGCCACAGGUUCGAGCCAACGUGGACAAUUGGGUCCACGUCGUUCUCUCGCGCCAGGCCGAGCCAUUCUGACCAUCCGGUCCACGUCGGGCAUCCCGUCCAGCUGGAGUCAAGACUCAAUCAAAUUUCUACGACAUAGUGAACGAUCAAUUAUUUAGGCAAGGGUCAACAGCGUGGGCAAAAAGUCAACUAUUAAUAUUCUGCAACCAAUAGUCUCUCUUCUCAGUCCUUUCCAAGGUAAGUAGUUCUCACACAUCAUAUAUCUCUGCUCAUUUAAUAUAUUUUUAUUGCGAUUGUCCGAGGGUGACUAUAGUAUAACCAUAUGUUUCUGAGUUUAAUGAGCAUAGUAUAACGACUCGUGACUUUUCUGAGCUACCCGAUCACGGCUGUCUUUGUCGAAAUACGGCCAUCAUGAGGGCCCUCGGCCGUCAACCCUGUGCGAAGUAAUAUACACGUCACACCUCAGCUUUCCUCCUGGCCGUGGACAGCGUAGAUGUCAACGCGGACAGGCCACAUGCGUUGAAUGCAACUAAACGUGUUCAAAUCAAGUCCCCCGGGUACCCCGUCAAUCUUCAUUUCUGUAAAGAUUUCGAGGAUCUUACCGUGGAAAAAGUAGAAGCUCAACGAACUAUCCCCCACCGCAAGAAGCGGUUCCUAGUGGCCACCGCAGGGUUGGUUGAUGAUCCUCGCCGUCCUGCGGGGAAAAGACCUCGCGACUUAACUCAACCCGAAGAAUCGGACCCCUGGUCCUCCUCGAGGACGAUGGAAGCUUCGUGUGGCGGAUCCGGGAGGUCAACGUCGGGCUGGAUGGUCGCCACCUCUCUUGAAAGCCUCACCGGAACACGCGUAGACCGAAGCGAUUAUCGCUCAUUAUUUAGGGGCGCCGCCACCCACUCGCCCAAUACGAGGAGCGCUCGAAUUUAAUAAACGAGCGGUUACUGUCACGAUAACAAGGCCGAGAACUUACAAAAUGUUUCAUAGCCAGAGUGCCGUGACGGCUUUCGCACCUUACAGCGGCCUUGUGGAGGCCCCAACCCACCUCCACGGAAAUCAUCCCUGAGCCAUGCCGCCCGGCGCCUCCAUCACCUCUUUGCUCCUCCUGCUCACCUUCAUCCUCAGGGCUGGAGGGGAGACGGUGACCACCUCCUUCGACUUCCCCAGGUUCGCGUCCAGCCCCGCAAACAUCACCUUUCAGGGCGAAGCCUCAUCCGCCAACGGAUCCCUAGAGCUCAACAAGGACGGCGAAUACAGCUACGGCCGAGCCAUCUACUCCAGCCCAGUCCGUCUCUGGGACAACAAAACCGGGAAUCUCGCGAGCUUCACAACAACUUUCUCCUUCUCCGUGAUCCGGCGUCCGAACGCGACGAAUUUUGCUGAUGGGUUAGCCUUCUUCCUCGCCCCCGUCGGUUAUCCUCUCUCGGAAAACACCACAGGGGGCGAACUCACCCUCUUCGACGGCUACUUCUCAACCCGACCGCCUAAGGUCCCCGUAGUAGCCGUCGAGUUCGACACCUUCCAAAACGAAUGGGAUAAGGAGGUCACCCAUGUGGGGAUCAACGUCGGCUACAUCGAGUCCGUCGAUAGCUUGCCUUGGUGGUCGCCCGAUGGCCAGACCCGUGCCACGAUCGACGCAGUGAUCACCUAUGACGCUGAUACCACCAGGUUGAGAGCCUCCUUCUCCGAGGUGAACGGCGACAACAGGAUCUUGCCUUACACCGUCGACCUGAGAAAGGAGCUUCCCGAGAGGGUGAACAUCGGCUUCGCAGGCGGCACAGGCCUAUACUUCGAACGCCAUGUGAUACACUCCUGGAGCUUCAAUUCGAGCCUGGAUGUUGCCAUCCGUAAUGGCAACACUACCAACGGAGGCGACGCGGGAGGGGGCAGCAUCAACGCUCCUCCGGACCCCCCUCCGAGCAAGAAGAAAAGCAGAAUCGGCCUACUGGCUGGUGUGCUAGCUGGCGCGGGAACCUUGGCAAUCGCAGCGGGUUUGGCACUGUUCUUCUUCCGGCGAAGAAGGGCAUAUGCCAAGAAUGGAGGACAGGACGACGUCAUCAACGACAGCGAACUUGACGAAGGGAAGGGACCUAAGAGCUUCUCGUAUUCGGAACUCGCCCGGGCAACCACCAACUUUGCGCCAGAACAAAAGCUAGGAAGAGGAGGAUUCGGAGACGUUUACAGAGGAACCUUAACCCAGCCGAAAAUGGUGGUGGCCAUCAAAAGAGUGGCAAAAGACUCGAGGCAGGGAAAGAAGGAGUAUGUCGCCGAGGUGAAGGUCAUCAGCCGCGUGCGCCACCGCAACCUCGUGCAGCUCGUGGGGUGGUGCCACGAGAAGGGGGAGCUGCUUCUCGUCUAUGAGUACAUGCCCAACGGCAGCCUCGACGCCCAC
rnacentral:lncRNA from 1 species